rnacentral:rRNA from 1 species
UACGGAGGAUGCAAGCGUUAUCCGGAAUGCUUGGGCGUAAAGCGUCCGCAGGUGGCUAUGUAAGUCUGCUGUUAAAGAGUCUAGCUCAACUAGAUAAGAGCAGUGGAAACUACAAGGCUAGAGUACGUUCGGGGCAGAGGGAAUUCCUGGUGUAGCGGUGAAAUGCGUAGAGAUCCGGAAGAACACCGGUGGCGAAGGCGGCAUUCUGGACCGACAUUGACGCUGAGGAGCGAAAGCCAGGGGAGCAAACGGG